rnacentral:rRNA from 1 species
UGGGGAAUAUUGGACAAUGGGCGAAAGCCUGAUCCAGCCAUGCCGCGUGUGUGAAGAAGGUCUUCGGAUUGUAAAGCACUUUAAGUUGGGAGGAAGGGCAGUAAGCGAAUACCUUGCUGUUUUGACGUUACCGACAGAAUAAGCACCGGCUAACUCUGUGCCAGCAGCCGCGGUAAUACAGAGGGUGCAAGCGUUAAUCGGAAUUACUGGGCGUAAAGCGCGCGUAGGUGGUUCGUUAAGUUGAAUGUGAAAGCCCCGGGCUCAACCUGGGAACUGCAUCCAAGACUGGCGAGCUAGAGUAGGGCAGAGGGUGGUGGAAUUUCCUGUGUAGCGGUGAAAUGCGUAGAUAUAGGAAGGAACACAAGUGGCGAAGGCGACCACCUGGGCUCAUACUGACACUGAGGUGCGAAAGCGUGGGGAGCAAACAGG